rnacentral:rRNA from 1 species
CAGUCGCCGCGGUAAUACGGAGGGUGCAAGCGUUAAUCGGAAUUACUGGGCGUAAAGCGUGCGUAGGCGGCUUCUUAAGUCGGAUGUGAAAUCCCUGAGCUUAACUUAGGAAUUGCAUUCGAUACUGGGAAGCUAGAGUAUGGGAGAGGAUGGUAGAAUUCCAGGUGUAGCGGUGAAAUGCGUAGAGAUCUGGAGGAAUACCGAUGGCGAAGGCAGCCAUCUGGCCUAAUACUGACGCUGAGGUACGAAAGCAUGGGGAGCAAACAGGAUUAGAUACCCGCGUAGUCCCUGUCUCUUAUAC